rnacentral:misc_RNA from 1 species
AAACUACGUUAAAUUCGACUAAAAUCUCUACGCGGGGGUUUUCGAGGUCGCUGAUUACGGAUUUGAAGUCAAAAAUUAUCCUACCAAAAUGGCGGAUCUAACAUGGCGAUGAGAGACAUUAAAAUUUUUCCUAAUUUUGAUAAAACAAUUCAACAGGACUGGGAAAGUUGGGACUACCACCUCGUAGAAAAAAAAGAACCGACGGCCGUUUCGAUUCCAUUGAUUGAGCCAAGUCAGAUGUACUUUCUUUGUUAUCAGAGAAUUUUCGUCUAUUCAAGGGACUAGGAUUCGAUUCUGAGCCUUUAGUAGAGCGUAAUAAUUCUUGCAGCUUGUGCUUGUAGUCGAGAGAAUCUAGUGCGUACGCAAUUAUGGAUGAAGGUUCUGAUUCAUAAACAACGAUUGGUACCACAGACCUGUAAACAUCAAUAAAAUUCAAUAAAUAUA